CAUGUACUCCCUCCAUCUGGAAUUACGUGUCGCUUAAAUGGAUGUAUCUAGCACUGAAAUACCUCUAGAUACAUCCAUUUGAGCGACAAGUAAUUCUGCAUGGAGGAAGUAUCAU
rfam:Hordeum vulgare subsp. vulgare, WGS project CAJW01000000 data, contig: morex_contig_30854